GACGAGAGUUUAAAGUAUAGACCCUUCCAGGACGGACGUGUUUAGAAUAUCUGAACACAGCCUGGUACUGAUAGUGACGUUCUAUCCCAUUCAAUUUAAUAAAAGAACAGCAAAAUACAAACAUGAAUUUUAACGUUUGUAGACAACUCUGAUAAAAGGUUGUUGUUUAUAUUAAAUAAAGUUCACUGAUGUCUGCAGGAUGUCUGUGUGGAGCUUCAUGGAAUAUAAAAAAAUGUAAUUGUCAAAAGUCAAAGCUGUGGCCUGCUGGAUUUUGGUGCGGUUGUAACAUUCAUUUUAAGCUAAAUUAAUUACGUGAUAGUUAGCCGUUAUGCUAAUUUUGGCGCUAAUGGCUACAUCAAUACAUUUUGGUUUUGUAGCGCGUCUUUGGUGUUACUCAGAGCGGUCGAGUGGUCGUUAGUCGCCAAACAGCCCUGGUUUUUCAUAGAUUGUGAUGUUUGGAGGCUAAUGCUAACUCUCCCAUUGAAAAUGCACUGGAGCUAAUGGACAGAAGGAUACGAGCUUUUAAAAUACAUGUGUUCAGUUUAUAAACACUGAAAGGGUCGGUAGGUCACUGCAGUAAAGAGUAGGUCACUGUAGUAAAGAGUAGGUCACUGCAGUAAAGUGUAGGUCACUGCAGUAAAGAGUAGGUCACUGCAGUAAAGAGUAGGUCACUGCAGUAAAGCGUAGGUCACUGCAGUAAAGAGUAGGUCACUGCAGUAAAGAGUAGGUCACUGCAGUAAAGAGUAGGUCACUUUAGUAAAGCG
ensembl:lncRNA